UCGGCAAGGCCAGGAAGGCGAGUGGGAGGCGUUGGACCGUUAUCUGGCUCGCAUCGAGUGCGACAUCAAGCAGGAGGUGGAGGGCCGGCUACACAAGAUCAAGAAAUACCUAUUGGAGUCAUUCCCCUUGCCAGGGACGAGCGCCGAUCUUUACUGACAGUUCACGAUAUAGCCGGUGGCCGAGAUGGUGCUGCAUGUCUUCCAGAACGCCGAGGACAUCUUUGUGAAUAAGCUGAAGAAGUGUGUCCAGGACUGCCUGGGGCAGGUGAAAGGGGACACGCUGGCCCGGAAGCUGUUUCAGUUGGCUAUGUGCUGUGGCUCGCUCGAGACUCCCUGACCUCGUGGUCAAGGAGAAACCGGCCGCGUUUCUCGGCAACAUCAGCACUCCCUACACCAGACUGCCGCCUCCUCCGGAGAAGGCGGUAGCCGAGCAGCUGGUCCGUCUGCUGAGCCACGCAAGUUACGAUGGCAGAGCUCCUGGGCCUGCCCGCGCUGUCACGCGUGGAGAAGCAGCUUGCCGAGCACUUUGACUCGUGCGACCUCCCCAGCCUGGGCCUCGGCUCCUUCUUGGACAUCCUC